rfam:Fukomys damarensis contig124067, whole genome shotgun sequence.
GGGCAGUCUGGCUAUGGCAUCUGUCACCCUGUUGUCAGGGCUGAUUUGGCUGGCCAGGCGGAUGUCCCCUUCCUCGUGUGUCCCUCCCAGAGCGGCAUGCUCAGUGGAAGAGGACAACUAUCCCUGAUAGAAGAUGACCGUUGCCUUGGUCAAGCGCACACAAGUAGCUGCAAUCCCCUACUAGAAACCCCAAACAAGCUCUCAAGAAAAUACAACUACAUAGUGAAUGAAAUAGUUUAACUUUACAGACCCUAAGCUGUCAUCCAAUUACUAAAUCAUGUUUCAGUCUAAUAUGUU